rnacentral:rRNA from 1 species
GCUAAUUACUUGUUUUGUAAUAGUUCGAUCCUGAUUCCUGAUUCCUGAAGCCGCCGCACCCAACCUUCUCUCGUCCUGAUCCACCCUAGCCAGGUGGCCAGCCAGGCAGGCCCCUCGCGCAGCCGGCCUCCCACUCGCCGCUCCUCAGGCCGCCGCACGGAGCUCGCCCCGCCGGCCACCACUCCGCCACCCGCCGCAGGAAAGCGAGGUCCUAGUUACCGGAAGAGUUGGGAAUGGAGGGUGCAGCGACGGAGAACUCGACGGUGCCCAUGGUGGCUCCGGAGGCGGCUGACCAUGCAGGUCAGCAUGUGGAUGGUUCGACGGUGCCCAUGGUGGUGCCAGAGGCGGCUGUUGACGCAGAGCAGCAUGUCGAGCGCUCGACGGUGCCCAUGGUGGUGCCAGAGGCGGCUGUCAACACGGACCAGCAUGUCGAGGGCUCAACAGCGCCCAUGGUGGUGCCAGAGGCAGCUGUCAACGCAGACCAGCAUAUCGAGGGCUCGACAGUGCCUAUGGUGGUGCCAGAGACAGCUGUCAACGCGGACCAGCGUGUUGAGGGCUCAACAGUGCCUGUGGUGGUUCCAGAGGAGGCUGUCGACACAGACCAGCGUGCUGACGCCGUGGCAGCGCCCAUGGUGAUGACUGAAGCAGAUGUAGAUGCAGACCAGCGUGCUGACAGCGUGGCAGCACCCAUGGUGACGACUGAAGCAGCUGCUGACGCGGAUCAUCCUAUCGAGGAUGCGGCUACCCAGGACAGGAAGCACGGGGAUGAUGAAGGAGUUGUCAAUGUUACUCCUGAGGAAAUGAGAGCCAUCAUCGAAGUUAUAGCUGAGACGGGGAAGUUCUGGCACGACUGGAGUUUUCUCAAGAGAUUGUUGUCUCUCCAAUUGAUGCAGGUCUUGGGUGAAUAUUCUGAGGCUCAAAUGGUGAUCCGAGAGGACGGGCAGCAACAGAAUUCCUUGUUUAGAGAGACGCACUCAGAGCUGUUUAGCCAGCUCAAUGAUGCUCUCUUGAGGUUUGAAGAGGGUCCUCCGUUUACACUUCAAAGGCUUUGUGAGAUUUUGUUGGAUCCAAAAGGAACAUACACAAAAUUGUCGAAGCUUGCUUUGGCCUUGGAGAAGAACCUCCUAGUCACGUCUACCAUAACUAAGUGUACUGAACCCUACCCUACUGCUCAUGGGCCAAAUUCAGAAGGACCAGUGAUCACAGAAAACACAGGUUCUGUUGAUGUAGAGCCUGAAAGGCCGGCAGAGCAUCCUGCAGCAGUGCCCAAUGGAACACAGUAUGCAGGAGGUGAUGGUGAUGAAGAGAUGGCUGACGCAGAAGCGGAGGGGCUGCCUGGUAGCCAUGAUGUCGAGAUGCAGGAGGAGAAGCCUGAUCAAAUUCCAGAUGUUAACUCUGACACCAACUCAGUUACUGCAGUUGCUUGUGAAACAGUUAAUGCUAGUGAAAAAGCUCCAGAUUCACAAAGUUGAGCUCACUCGCAGCAAAGGCCAGAAGACCUAGUGCAGCUCUCUUUAACAAUCCAGCUAUUGUGACAUCUCUGUGACUAGCUGAUUAUGCUAUGUGAUUCUCCCAUGAAUCACACCCAUAGACAAUAUGAUUAGGGGUUCGUGCUGUAUGCUUUGAAGUUGUUGUGAGCCGUCGAAGAUGGAAAUGGAUAUCUUGACCAUGGUUGAGAUGAAUGAAAUUCUCCGAGGAAAAAUGUACUCAAAAUGGCGAUGGCACAUUCUCCUUGGUUGUCACCUGAAUGUAUGUGGACUUCUUCACUUCACUUCCAGGUGCCAAAAGUUAUGAUGUACCCAAGGUUAGUCAAAUUGGAUAUUUGGCUAUCCUUUUUUGCAACUUGUACUGUAGUGAACUUGUGCAUCAUUAGAAAGUGACAUCUUUCCUGCCCCAUUUUUACUGUGAAGCAAUUAACCUUGGCCGCGUAUUGACCUUCUAGUGUUUCUUAGCACAUCCCACUGCCGUCUGCGGUUGUUUAUGAGUGCACGCCAUCGUAUUCGUGAUUUUCUGUCGAUG